UACAGAGGUCUCAAGCGUUGUUCGGAUUCAUUGGGCGUAAAGGGCGCGUAGGCGGCGGGGUAAGUCGGGUGUGAAAUCUCAGAGCUCAACUCUGAAACUGCACUCGAUACUGCUCUGCUUGAGGACUGGAGAGGAGACUGGAAUUCACGGUGUAGCAGUGAAAUGCGUAGAUAUCGUGAGGAACACCUGUGGCGAAAGCGGCUCACUGGACCACAACUGACGCUGAGGCGCGAAAGCUAGGGGAGCAAACAGG
rnacentral:rRNA from 1 species